GAUGAACGCUGGCGGCGUGCUUAACACAUGCAAGUCGAACGGGAAACCUUUUAUUGAAGCUUCGGCAGAUUUAGCUGGUUUCUAGUGGCGGACGGGUGAGUAACGCGUGGGUAACCUGCCUUAUACAGGGGGAUAACAACCAGAAAUGGUUGCUAAUGCCGCAUAAGCGCACAGGACCGCAUGGUCCGGUGUGAAAAACUCCGGUGGUAUAAGAUGGACCCGCGUUGGAUUAGCUAGUUGGCAGGGUAACGGCCUACCAAGGCGACGAUCCAUAGCCGGCCUGAGAGGGUGAACGGCCACAUUGGGACUGAGACACGGCCCAGACUCCUACGGGAGGCAGCAGUGGGGAAUAUUGCACAAUGGGGGAAACCCUGAUGCAGCGACGCCGCGUGAAGGAAGAAGUAUCUCGGUAUGUAAACUUCUAUCAGCAGGGAAGAUAGUGACGG
rnacentral:rRNA from 1 species